UUUUCUGGAUAACUGAUUAGUUAGUACGUAGUGAUUUUAUAACUGCUGGUCUCUAAUCUGUAUUAUGAACUUUCUUUGCUCACGUAAAUAUGUGUGUUUUCUGGGCCAAGUAACUCUUAUUUGGCACAAAAUGAUCCCUAUGAGUAUCAGCUCCUUCAAAAGGGUAGUUAUUAGAGGAUGGUGAUAAAUUGGUCAUUAAAAGCUAUAAAGAACAUAUAAAUAUAACAGUAAAAUGCAACAUUUUUACAAACCAAGAGAUUAAUGCUGCAGAAAAUAGUUAAUCUUGGGGCUUAGCACACCGAGUGUUGAAAUAAACAUUUAAAUUAAAGUUAACCUAUUUUAGGUCAAAUUGCUGCAACUCCUGAACCACUGGCACAACUGAAAAAUUCAAACGGCUCCUGAAAGCAUCAACUCUGUGCUUUUUCAGUGAUAUAAGGGUCAUUACUAUAAGCCCAGGCAGGUGCUACAUCCAAAUUUUGGCAAAUAACACAGAAAACAACACAGCAAAAACAAAACUAUAAAAACAUGGUUGUGUGUGUGUUUUGUGUAGGGCUCCAUCACACUCACUAACUCUCUCUUCUGUCAGCCAACCUCCAACCGUCUUUUUGGGGUUGCUGCAACACUGUGCCUGGGAUUACUGUAAUGACCCUAAAAUCACUGACAAGCACAGAGUCACUGUUUUCAGGAACCAUUGAAAGUCUUUCAUUUGAAAUGGUUCAGGAGUUAUGGGAGUUACAGAUGUUGAAAAUGUUGCAAAACCCCUGUCUGAGGCUAUUGACAGGUGCUGCUGUUUAUUUCUAAGGCACAGUGGCAUAUUAGAGCUCUGAAAUUUUAAAUAGAUCUAAUUAAACAUUGGAAAUCAAUUUAGUCUGUCAGCAGAAAAGUAAAAUUAAUUUGGCUUUCCGUGCCAGUUACACACUCCCCUUCUUAUUCCAAAUAAGCACACCCUCCAAGCAGCAACUAUCACACACAUAGCAGUCAUAGAAAAAAGUGUGUUUCAGUGUUAAAUGUAGUGCAAUUUACAGUAAAUUGUCCACCACAAACCUUAGUAGAGUUUAAGUUUUGGUAGAACAGUCAAGCUGUGCUCAUUAGUCUAGCAUAGAAAUUUUGUAAUUUCUUUUUAAUUAUUAGAUCAGAUAAUUUUAGUGCUAUUUUUGUAAUUCCAUUAAAAAAUGCAGUUUGCCAGUUAGGUAAUCAAAUAACGAUCAGUUACAGCUGACUUACAGGCCAGUCACCUGUCAGUCAAAGUGGCCAUGCCCUUACCUACCAUCACUGUCCAAAUGACCCACCAUACAGUUGUUAUGAAGUUUGAAACUGUACUGUACAGGGAAAAUUAUUUCUUGUACCAGGUUGUAGGUGUGCAUUUUAAUGGUAUUUAGUGGAGGAUUUUAAAUUGUAAACUGUUGGUUACAUAGCCCAUUUCUACUCUACUUCAGCACUCAAAGCUCACGUAGAGCUCAAACUUCAGAGACGAACACAAAGGAGAUUUCCUGCAUCUUUGAACGGCUGACAGUGACUUUAAUAAAGUAAUGGUUCCAUGGGGUCAUCCUCUAUGGGGGAUUUGGAUUAAUAAGAAAUUUUCUGCAACAAAGAAUAGCAGGUACAAUCAGUACAGUAUUUUUUAUCUGAACACUGAAUAAGACAUGAUCCUGUCACAUUCACAUAUAUUUUCAUACUGGUUAUACCAGGUAAAGGAGCUAAGAUAUCGUCAGUUCUGAUAACAGAGAGUCUCUUUCAUUUAAACCAUUUCUGUUCACGUUUUAAUCAAAACAUGAAAAGUGUUACUAUUUAAUGUACCUGUUAAAAGACUUUGUGUCUUCUCACUAUGUUCACAGGUUGAACUCUGUUGACGUCAAGUACCAGAUCUGGAAGCUGGGGGUUGUGUUCACAGACAAUGGUUAAUCAUUGAUGCCUUUGGAGAUCUGAGGGAUCAGCAGGAACAAGUGAAAGAAGACAUGGAGACCAAAUGUUUUAUCUGUGGAAUAGGUAAUGACUACUUUGACACCGUGCCACACGGCUUUGAAACGCACACUCUACAGGAGCACAACUUAGCCAACUACCUAUUCUUUCUGAUGUAUCUCAUCAACAAAGAUGAAACAGAGCACACAGGCCAGGAGUCUUACGUAUGGAAAAUGUACCAGGAACGUUGUUGGGAGUUUUUCCCCGCUGGUGACUGUUUCCGGAAACAGUAUGAGGAUCAGCUCAACUGAGUCAACCUUGGAGUGACAGACUCUUAACUCUGAAAGGCCGACUGCAGCCAUCUGGCCUCUGCUUGUCCCUCAAACGUUUAUUACUUUUCUGAGGAGGCUGUACCAAAUGAUGGGUUCCUCUCUAUGCGUCAUCUCUCCUCAAGUGGCCAGGCUCUUCAACGAGAUGCACCCUGCCAUUGUCAUCCAGACAGUCAGCUCCACCCCCCGACCUUUAGCACACUCUGCUUUUGAGACCUUGUACAUAGAAAACUUCAGAAAAUAUGAUGUACAAUACAUGACAGGUAGCAGGUCUAGAAUUUUUUCACUCUGAUGACUUCCUUGCUUCCUCUUAUUCUAUAUUCAAAGUAACUUGCAAAAAUACAAAGGAUUAAUGGAUUGAGGGUAAAAGAAGAAACCUAAAGAAUGUUUUACUUUUAAUAUGACCAUGUCUACGCCCUUUCAUGUUUAUAAUGCACGAUUCAUAUAGGUACAGGUGGUGGAUACAAUAAUCAAACAAGUUGACGACUUAUUCUGGCAAGAAGAACUCUGCAGCAAAUCUACACUUCAAUAAGCUUAAAGACGUGCUGACCUGAAUACGAUGGACAACGAAAAUCGAACACAGCACCAAAGUGGAGACUUCAGAACAAUCAGAAAGCUGAAUGAAGCCCCUGUGCAAAGAGGAACAUUUUCACAAACAGAGCUGCUGUGUUGAGUUGAAUUACAGUUUGGUCCAAGAGUUUGAACAAUGACACAUGUUCUUCUCACUUUACUUACUUAUACCACCAUCACAGUGGAUCUCAAGUCAAACAAUGUAGAUCACUAAAUACUUGAUUUGCCUUCAGCUACUGCUUGUUUGUGUUCUUCAGCCUUCACUUUUUGUUCGGUAAAUGAAA